GAUGAACGCUGGCGGCGUGCCUAAUACAUGCCAGUCGAGCGAACGGACGAGAAGCUUGCUUCUCUGAUGUUAGCGGCGGACGGGUGAGUAACACGUGGAUAACCUACCUAUAAGACUGGGAUAACUUCGGGAAACCGUAGCUAAUACCGGAUAAUAUUUUGAACCGCAUGGUUCAAAAGUGAAAGACGGUCUUGCUGUCACUUAUAGAUGGAUCCGCGCUGCAUUAGCUAGUUGGUAAGGUAACGGCUUACCAAGGCAACGAUGCAUAGCCGACCUGAGAGGGUGAUCGGCCACACUGGAACUGAGACACGGUCCAGACUCCUACGGGAGGCAGCAGUAGGGAAUCUUCCGCAAUGGGCGAAAGCCUGACGGAGCAACGCCGCGUGAGUGAUGGAGGUCUUCGGAUCGUAAAACUCUGUUAUUAGGGAAGAACAUAUGUGUAAGUAACUGUGCACAUCUUGACGGUACCUAGUCAGAAAGCCACGGCUAACUACGUG
rnacentral:rRNA from 1 species